AUUGGAGCAUGUCUUAAACUCCACCCUUUUAUCUCAAUUGUCAAGCGUAGAAAAAUACACAAGACAAAGUAGUCCUUACUUUGUAUUAUGCUUUAAAGACAAAUAGAUCAGAAAAGAAGAAGAGAUUCUGAAAGAGGAAGAGAAGAUGAAACAGUAGGCGAAAGGUAAGUUUGAGGCGACAGAGCCACUUUAAUUAAGCAUGUAUAUUUUGCCUGAUGUUAUUGUGCAUAGACACAAGUAACACCAGAAUAAGAAGAAAAUAUAAAACAUUAUUUUGUGAUUGGUUAAAGAGCUG